rnacentral:rRNA from 1 species
CCUAGGGGCAUAAUCAUUUUGAUCCCUUAAUAAAACUACUAGUAAAAAAUUUAAAUGUUAGUUGUGAAAAAAAAACUUUUUUUAUUAGAUAAAGCAUUUUUUAAAAUCCUAAGAUAAAGAGGGGCUAGAUGCCCAAUAUAAGGAAUAACUUAUAUUAGGUAUUAAAAGAAAAAUCUCUAAACCUAAAGAACAUGGCAGUAUUUUACCCCCUGCAGAGGAACUUGAAUAGUCAAUGAUAAUCCCCACUAAGUUUUACUUUAUUUUAUUUUAUGUGUGGUUGUCUAAAUAAGUGUCAAAGCAUAAAUUAUAAGUCAGAUUACAUGUAGAAAUAAUAAAGAAUAGUUUAGUUACAAAUAUAGGAAUAUAGGAUUUGCAAGUAAAAUAAUUUUUUAUUAUUUAUUCGAAGAGGUUAUAAAAUGUGUACAUAUUGUCCGUCACUCUCCGAGAG